UACGGAGGGGGCUAGCGUUGUUCGGAAUUACUGGGCGUAAAGCGCACGUAGGCGGCUUUGUAAGUUAGAGGUGAAAGCCCAGGGCUUAACCCUGGAAUUGCCUUUAAGACUGCAUCGCUAGAAUCGUGGAGGGGUAAGUGGAAUUCCGAGUGUAGAGGUGAAAUUCGUAGAUAUUCGGAAGAACACCAGUGGCGAAGGCGACUUACUGGACACGUAUUGACGCUGAGGUGCGAAAGCGUGGGGAGCAAACAGG
rnacentral:rRNA from 1 species